GCCAUUUGGUCAGUUUCUACUGAUAGGCUAUUUAAUUUUGCUGAAACAGUCAUAGCACAGCAUGACGUUUUCACGAUGUUUUAUGGCUUUAUAAAAGUGGGAACACACUAAAAAUAAAUCCCGGAGAAUCUCCAGCUACUGUACGACAACAACCGCAAAAAAUUAGAGGGACGAAAACCAAACGAAGACAAGAUGAAGGACUAGAAGGACAAAAGGAUGGACGGGAAAGAUGUGGAUAUAGAUGGAUAGAGGAUUAACAAAGUGAUGGAUGGACGGACGGACAGGCGGGCGGGCGGGCUUAUAGAUGGACGGAUGGACGGACAGACAGACCCUUGGAUGGAUUAAUAAAUGGAUGAAAGGACAGACAGACAGAUUUACAGACAGUUUUAUACCCAUGAGUGCACGUACACUCAAAUUUGUGCCAGACUCCAAGAAAGAUACAUUUCUGGUGGGAAAAAAAGAUCUUGUUGUGGUUUUCUAACUGCUGAGUAGGAGUGCUGCAGUGUGUCAGGCUUUGGCCUUGACCAUACCAAACUGCUUCUCUCUGCAUUUUACAAAACCUGUUGCUCACCAUCAUGAAGUUCAUUCAAAAUGUCCAUCACAAUAGACAGACAGACAGACAGACAGACAGACAGACAGACAGACAGACAGACAGACAGAUAGAUAGAUAGAUAGAUAGAUAGAUAGAUAGAUAGAUAGAUAGAUAGAUAGAUAGAUAGAUAGAUAGAUAGAUAGAUAGAUAGAUAGAUAGAUAGACCUGCGGAUGGAUUAAUAGUUGAAUGAAAGAACAGACAGACAGAAAGACAGAGGACGGACAGAUAGAUAGACAGACAGACAGACCGACCGACCCGCGGAUGGAUUAAUAGUUGAAUGAAAGGACAGACAGACAGACAGAAAGACAGAGGACGGACAGAUAGAUAGACAGACAGACAAACAGACAGACCGACCGACCGACCCGCAAAUAGAUUAAUAGUUGAAUGAAAGGACAGACAGAAAGACAGAGGAAGGACAGAUAGAUAGAUAGAUAGAUAGAUAGAUAGAUAGAUAGAUAGAUAGAUAGAUAGAUAGAUAGAUAGAUAGAU